AUGAUGGAAUAUUGUGACUUGAGCCAGGCAUCCCACUAUGAAAGAGUUUUAUUUGGAACCCAUCUUUUAAGGUUGGUUCAGACACUAAGACUUCGAGUCCCCAAGAUUACAGCAUGGCACCAUGUGGAGAGGGGAAGCUACUGGAAUGCCAACAUUACCAUUUAUGGACAUUCAGAGAUGGAGAACAUGAUCUUCUUCAAAAUGCAUCCAACUCUUGAGGGAGUUGUGAGUGAUGUCGUACACGGUAUAAUAGCAUGUCUAUGCGAACGUUAUCACCAGGAGCUAGAAGGCACUUUCUUCCAUGAUUUGGGGUGGCAGGAGAUCACUGGAGAACCUGGCAGGAUCAGGGAAGAUCAUAAGAGAAAACUCAAUGACAUGUUGAGUCAUAAUCAGGAUAUAGAAAGGUAUCUCAAAGGUCUCCAACUGGAGCAUUCCGAAGCUUUGCAAAAGAUAGGGGCCAUGAAGGAAGUUAGGACCCUCCUGGAGCAGAACAUGGGGAUACUGCGAGAAGAUUUGGAGAAAAACAAAGAUGAAGUCCAGUCUCAAGAGAUAGAAAUCAAGAAGCUACAGAAGGAAUUAUGGGAAGAAAAGGCUCGCAAUAAGAAACUCAAGUUAGAAAAGAGGGUUCUAAAAGGAGAAGAGGCUGAAGAAGAGGAUUUCUCAGCCAACUCCUCUAAUGAGAGUGACAAUACCUCCCUCAGCAGCAUCAACCUAGAUGUUGAAUCUAGAACUUGA
rnacentral:rRNA from 1 species